AAGGGGUGCCUAAAAACGGCUGAGAUCAUACCCUAUGAACCUGAUACGGAUAAUGCCGGCGAAGGAAUUGUUCAUA
rnacentral:ncRNA from 1 species